GCCAGAGCGAUGGUCUCCUUCGCUGCCCUCAGGAUCUCUAUGGCCCUCUGGAAUUCCUGUGUGGCCCUCUGAGCCUCCACCUGAGCCUGAAAGAGCAGUGAAGGACAGUGAGCCAGCGCUGAAACUCGACUUGAGCUGCUGGGCUGUGAAAAAUCACUCUGACCUAUGAGCAGCUGUGCAGAUGAAGCUGUCCUCUGAAACAUCCCUCCCUCUUCGUGGGAACUGUACAGACUGUUUGCUAACAAAUGACUCCAGCACUGAUGCACGUACAGCAACGUCAUCUAUUACUGAGAGUGCAGAGGCUACAGCGAGCGUGGGAAGGGAGGGAAGGGGAGGUAAGUGAAGAGAGGUAAGUAAGGGUAAGGAGGGUAUCUGAGGCUGCAGAGUGAAAGUAGAGCAAAGAUUUAGCAAAAGUGCCAUGUCAAAAAACUGUUUUCUGAGCCACCUCGUUUUGAAACUAGUUAAAGAGUGAAAUAAGGUUGCACAGAAGUGCUAUAUGUUGUUAUUUUUGAAAUUCAGAAGUAUGCAGUGGUUUUGUACCACUGGAAUGCACGGCUACUGCAAUAGAACACAGCUUAACACAAGCUAAAUGGCUCUCAUGCUGCUAGAAUGUACAUUCAUUGUAUUAGGAAGCAGAUUAAAUGGACUGGUUAUUAUGCACCUGACAAAAUGAGUGCCACUUCAUAGUCUGAAUAGCUGCUUAGCUUUGGGUCAUUAGCUCUUUCCCCGACGCUACAAAGCCUCUCGCAGCUGCCAAAAAACUAAGUGCCUUUCUCUUUUUUGAAGCCUGCUGUCCUACGAGCUGUGAUGACUACAUCUGCUGCGUUCCUUAACGUUUGAAGAGGCCUAUAAGUGUUUUCCAAAACAUUCCCACCAAAGCACGAAAUGACAGAGCAGCACCGGAUUUCCAGCUGCACAGAUAAACAAUUUCCCCUCCUCGUUCAACACAAAUCCAGAGGACGCCAGUCACGCGUGACAAACUUUCUAUAGGCCCGUCUGGGAAGACGGGGGGAAGGGCGACGAGCUUUGAGAGAGGUCUUCCUUUCUGGAAUCCUGGCUGCCACCACUGGAGAAGAAACAAUAACAUGAUAAACAAGGCACGCGGCCGAAAGGCAGGCCUGACCUACCUCCAGCUCUGU